GAAAGACGUGGAAGGCUACUGUACGAUUCUCUCUAAUCUGCAAAAGCAAGGCCAACGCCCCUCCACUCACCCGCGCAUCCACUCUCUCCUCCUCCUCCUGCUUCACCCGCCUGAUGUGAAAAAACGAUUCAAGAAUCUAUCUUUCCACUUGUUGGAUUCAAAAUGGCGUCUUCUUCUUCACCCGCCUGAUGUGAAAAACGAUUCAAGAAUCUAUCUUUCCACUUGUUGGAUUCAAAAUGGCGUUUCUAUCAUUACAAUUCGUCAAUGGCACAAUUGCUUUGUCAACAACAACCUCAUCAACAACAAUUCUGCCCUCUUUUUCCCCUAUUCUGUCCAAAGUUGCUGCUGCUACCCCUUCUUUUUCUGCAGCUUCUGCAGUUCAAUGUUGCUCUCGAGUCUGCCACCAAGUACCCUCCGCUGGCCGUCCUCCUGCUCCUGGAUUGCAGUCUCCUCAUGAUGUCAAGAUAAACAUUAACAACAACGAAAAAGGUCCUCCCAGUGCGAGAGAACCUGCUGAUGGAGAUUCAGAGAAGGCAGCAGUAGAAGGGAGUGAGAAUGGUAGUGAUGGGGUAUCGGGAAUUGAAGUUCCUAGGCCGAGAUACAUCUCCAUUUCUAAGGCAAGGCUCCUCAACGCCAUCGUUUCCGAGUUGUUCGACUCACAACUCGAGGCCGACCAGUUUCUUCAUCUUUCCAAAUGCUUGGAUUCUAUACUUCUUGCUGAGCACAAAUGCAUCUUAGAGGAAAUGCGGCUUGACUAUGAUCUGACGAAUUCUGUGGAGAGUGAGGGGAAUGUUUACCAAGGUUUAUCUAAUCUGGAAAGAAAAUCUGAAUCAAAUGGAAAGAAUUCUUAUGCUGCCGGUAGCAUGGAAGAAUAUGGGGUGAAUGGGUUUGACAAUAAAAAAUCUGAUCUUUCUUCUGAGUUGGCUUCUCUAUUGGCUUCUUUUUCUGACAAUAUGAAGACAAAUCCCAUGAAAAGGUCUAACCUUCUAUAAUUGUUGAUUUUGUAUGUGUAUUAUGUUGUGUUAUGUUCUGAAAAUAAGUUUCAAGUAAUAUGUUUUGACUAUGGGAUUAUGUACAUGACAAGUAAAUUAAAUCAAUCUUCAAACAUGAACAUGUUAAUCCGAAAAUAACUUGAAGCAAUUCUUUAGAUACAGAUACAGUCAAUUUAUGAGUGAUAGCUUAUGGUUGCUUAUUUGAUAGUUCUAAUGAUGGCCAUAUGCUUUAUUUGUUUUGGGAUAUUACUCGUUGAUUGCUUUAGCAUCUGAUGAUUUGCACUCAUUUGAACUAUAAUAGACUCUAGCUGUAGUUUUUGGUACUAAAUCUACAGUUUGAACAUCAAUCUCUUAGUAUCUCUCUCUUUUUGUUCUUCUACCUCUUAUUACGUUUGUGGGAAAUAUUGUAAUUCUGGUCUUUAUAGGGUUUUCCUCUGGAAAUUAGUAUACUGGAGGUCAUUGAAGGCACUCAUUCUCUGACUAUAUUGAUUAUCUCUUCUCUCUCUUCACCUAUUUUCCAACAUCGUUGAAAACUCAAACCUUCAUUUUUUUUUUUGCGAAUUAGGCAAGCUUUAUUGAUGAUAAGUGGCAAACCAUUAAGUCAACACACUUUUCUGUCCAAUUCUUGUCAAAUGAUCAACUACAGAACACAGUAGGGUGUACGCAUGCAUAUAAGGUCCAGGACUAGAAAAUUGUCCCGUCAAAUAGAUAAAUUUUGAAAUCCCUCCUAAUUCUAUAUGGAUUUCUCCUCUAUCUUUGUCAGCUUGCAUUACCAAAGACAUAAAUGUUUGUAAGUCUCGUAUGCAUAUAAGGACCAGGACUGGAAAAUGUCCUGUCAAACAGAUAAAAAUUGAAAUCCUCCUUAUUCUAUUUAGAUUUCUUCUCUAUCUUCAUCAGCUUGCAUUACCAAAGACACAAAUGUUUGUAAAGAAUUCUCCAUGAUAUACUUGAUCCCUGCAAAAUAAUGUGUAAAAUGUGUACGAGCCUUGUUUGCCAGAUGUCCAACCAUCCUACAUCUUUGUCUUUUGACCAACUGGAAAAGAAUGAUUCAUUUAAUAGAAGGGCGUGCUUUUAGUUCCCCUGGGUUGUGUGGCUGGGGUUUUGUUAUUUGCCAACUGUGUAUGGCCUUCCCGGUUAAGGUAGUACUAUUGGGACAUAAGCACCAUUUUGCUAUUGUCAUGCCAGAUCAUCUAGCCUUCUCUAACCACCAUAGCUCCUGUGCAUGGAUCAGUACUUUAGCAAAAUUUUGACUGGAGCUGAUAUUUAGAUCCUAUGUCUUGAAUGCAGGACUAGAUUAAUUUUGCCGAAAAACGAUAAGAGUGUUAGACAAUAGUCAGAUGAAAAGCACAAAAACAAAAAUAGAUUAUUGAGUACCAUUUAAUAUUCUUUUUCCUGUUAUACUUGAGUAGGGUGGUUUGGAUUCUUUGUUCUUUUCUUUAUCUUUGUCAAGCUUCUUUGUUUGAAAUUGCCAUUUAUGGUUAGAAAGCCAGAGCACUAGUGACAGAGCCAAAAGCUACCCAUGAAUUAUUUUUAAUGAAAUAAACACAAGGAAAGUAUAGUGACAGGCGGGAGAGAGUGAUUGUCCAAAAUGAAAACUAGGCUUAUUAACUGUUGAACUCAAUCACAACUUUCUAUGUUGCAGUUUGUCUUUGAAACAUUUGAUCUGUUUGUAGUUUUUGCUACUGUAGUGUGCACAUUUAUGAAUUGUACAUUUUUUAUCAUCCUUAUUAUUCUUAUUCACUCACCUGGAUGGGUAGAAUGAUUGACCAAGAAGGCUGAUGGCCUAGGUUGCUGACCUCCGUUGCACUUGGGAGGAUGUCCACCCGAGGUCCACCCAAGUGCUAGAGCUUAUGUCAUAAUUCUGCUGAUCCUGAUCUAUUAUCUAAAUCUGUUUGACUAGUUAUUCAGAGUUUUUUGUAGAGUUGCUGUGCAUGCCCGUUUUCAGCGUUCGUUUGUGCAGCUGCUUUCUAGUGCUGAGUUUGAAGAAUUGUCAGUUCGGGAUUUGCUAUUGACAUCCUCUUUAAAUACCGAUUACCUUCUCACUUUGCCAAUAUAUGUUGACUGGAGAAGGGCUUCUGAAUCAAAUGCAAUCAUUUACAGGAGUCUUCACAAGUAAUCACCUCUUGUAAUACAGGCGAGGUCAUGCGACUGAGAGGCAGAAAGGAUUGUUAACAGUUGAAAAACUGGAUUACUUGCAGUCGAUGCUGUUACAAAGAAUUUUCUUUCUCAUAUCAAGACCACUGGGGAAGUUUGGUGUAUGGUUAGCUGAGCAGGUUCUCAAAAGGAACAAACAGAUACGCGAUACAAUAUUGUGGACAGAAAAUCUAAAUGACUGGCUGAAGAAAUUGCCAUUCUUUCAACAAUCAUAUUUGGAUGAUAUAUUCUCAUCCGAAGAUGAGUUGGAAGUUGACCUUCUAACAUCCAGUGACCUUCCUAUCUGGUUAGCAGCUCAAAGGGCAGUAACUCGUUAUGAGGGAAUCUUAUCAACUACUGGGCCCCGUGGCAGGCUCUUGAGAAAGUUACUUACAUGGAUUGGACUUGCACCAUCGGCCCCAGAACAAGCGCUGGAUCUCAAGUCAAGGACCAUUGCUUGUGACUCCAAACCUUACUCAGGGCCUAUAUUCUUGUCAAGGAUAACACUUGGUGAUAUAUGGAGACCUGCUUCACUAAAACAUUGUGGAAAUGAUUUCUGGAAGAUGCUGAAAACUGCCAUUUCCAUUCUUAUCUCUCAAUCAACUCUCCAGGAGCCAGCAUUCAAAGAGUUGAUUCUGCUCUAUACAAAGGAGUUGGAUGGAACAGAUACUGAAGAUAAAGCUAAUGUUCCUCCCUUGGAGUUGAAGAUUUAUGAGAAAAUUCCUAUACCAGAUUUACCAGUUAUAUUUCCUCACAAGAAGCUUUCUUUCCGCAUCCUUGAUGCGGUACGCUUGGAUGUGGCUACUAUAUUGGGACUAUUAGCAUUCUUCAUAAACUACAAGUUUGAGGACAUUUUAUCUUCCCCGUAUGUGCUCAGUAAUUAACUAUUGCUUCUAAAAUUCUCCUUUUCUCGGCAUGUUAUUUCUGAAAAUUUUUCACUUUUAGAUCUACCGAGACUCCUUGUUGUGCAAGGAACAGUCUGGCAAUUUGACAGUUCUGCUGGCCUUUUUCCCCCCUUUCUGUUCUUUAAAAGGUAGAGAUCAUUGUAUAAAAAUUGCACCAGGAUUCAAUCAAGGUACAUAAGUUACCAGAUUCGUAUGGGAUUGAAGCAUUCCGAAUAGGGCUGGGAAAGAUGUAUGCCAUUGCAAAAGGAUCUACAGAACUGGAAAAGACUGUCCCACAAACAGUUUCAGUUUGGAGGAUCUUACUCAUUCCAUCAGACCUACCACUGUUCUGAUUGCCAUGUAGUGAUUUUGAUAUGUACAUAGAUAUCUGUCUGGCAUGUUAGUUAUUAUUUAUCCUUCUAUAAGGUCCCCAGCUGAUAAAAAUUUGAUAAAAAAUCAUAUAUUCUGCCUGGAAUUAUCAGAUUAAAGCUCUCAUAGCUUGGAUUUUAUAGCCUUAUAAUAUUGCAUGCUCCUUUCAAUGUCAUUACGAUACCGCAACAUUAUCAGAUUUCUAAAUUUCUUCUCUGGAGUAAUAGCACUUUGCAUUUAGAUGAGCAUGUUGUGCCAGUAUACUGUUUAAGAGUUUAUUUUAGAAUUGAGCUCAUGAAAAUGCAGUCUAUCAUUCUAGAUUGUGUUUCCCUAUGGAAAGUGAUUAUUAACACCUUAUAGCUGCCUUGUGUUUUCAUAAUGUGGAUGUUGUAAAAAGUUUAUGAUUAAAAGACCUGCUGAAUUUGUUUUGAUUGACAUUUUCAUAUGGCAGCUGCACGAUGUUAUAUUACAUGCUCCUUAAUUUGCGUGUUCUCGUAUUUCCAAUAUUGGUGAUUCAAGGACAAUGUUUUCCUCACCAAUGCCUUUGAUAUCUAAGCCAUAUACUUAAACUAUGUGCUAAUUGACGGUGAGGAUUUGAAUUUCGUCAUCUGAUUCUUGCAGAUCGGCUAUACUUCUGGAUGUAAUUACAGUUAGUGCACUUUUAAUAUAUGUUUUUCGUGUGGUCUUGGGUUAUAAAACUACCAGGGAUCGGUACCAAGACACUUUAUGAGAAAACUGUCGCAAGUGGCUUUGGUUCCGUUCACUUUCUCCUUGAUGCUUCUCAACAACAGCAAUACAAGGAAGCCAUUCUUGCAUAUGCAAUCCUACUUAAAGGAGAGAAUUGCCAGAUGGUUUCUGCAAGGAGGGUUGGAGACGAGUGUGAGAAAUUUAUUUUUGAUGUUUUCAACGAAAAGAUUGAAAUGCCAAUUGACAAGGCAAAGAACACGUUGUUGAGGCUUGGGCUUGUAACGGAAACAGCUUUGGAAGACGGAACUAUACUCCAGGCUGUUCCCUGCUCUAGGGUGGCUGAGAUUCUUAGACAAAAAUGGGAUGGCUUGCUUGCUUAAGUUUGUAUGGUUGAAUAGCGGAUGGUUGAGCUAUGCCCUCUCUGCUUAAGUGAUGCUGUCACCUUGGCUUGUUGCUGAGAUGGGGAACACAAGUUAUUGGUUCUGUUAUGUGAUGGCAUGCAUUGGCAUUCUGGAGCUUUUCUCAUUCAUAAAUGGCAGAGGAAGGAUGUAGAAAGGAGAAUGAGGAUGUUAUUGUGAUUUUCUGUAAAUUCUUUGUUAGGUUAAUCAAUGUUAAUUCAUGCUCUCCAGAAACCACCUGUAUCAUGUACAAUUUCCUCUGGAUUUGGAAGACAACUCCAUGUUUGAAUAAAAUAGAGGAGGAGGAGGUCAUAGUUUGUUGUUACAAACAUUGAUAAUCUUUGCUGUUAUAGCCAUUGAAACUCUUUGAUGGUGAUACAUGUUAAUGUGUGGUUUUAUCAGCUGCACUUGUUCCUUGGGCAGAAGAAAGAAAUAUAUCCAGUUAGGAAAUCCAUUUGACAUG